GCGGUCAUGGUUUAGUGGUAGAAUGCGACCUUGCCAAGGUCGAGACGGGAGUUCGAUUCUCCCUGACCGCACAA
rnacentral:tRNA from 2 species